rnacentral:rRNA from 2 species
UUGACCUCGGAUCAGGUAGGGAUACCCGCUGCAACUUAA